rnacentral:rRNA from 1 species
AUUGAACGCUGGCGGCAGGCUUAACACAUACAAGUCGAGCGGAGACUUCGGUCUUAGCGGCGAACGGGUGAGUAAUACCUAGGAAUCUGCCUAUUAGUGGGGGAUAACGAAUCGAAAGGUUCGCUAAUACCGCAUACGUCCUACGGGAGAAAGGGGGGGAGUCUUCGGACCUCUCGCUAAUAGAUGAGCCUAGGCCGGAUUAGCUAGUUGGUAGGGUAAAGGCCUACCAAGGCGACGAUCUGUAGCUGGUCUGAGAGGAUGGCCAGCCACACUGGAACUGAGACACGGUCCAGACUCCUACGGGAGGCAGCAGUGGGGAAUAUUGGACAAUGGGGGCAACCCUGAUCCAGCCAUGCCGCGUGUGUGAAGAAGGCC